UUCGGUUACCCUGGAGACUGGCGCACGGGUGAGUAACGCGUAGACAACCUGCCUGAAUCUGGGGGAUAACCACUUGAAAGGGUGGCUAAUACCGCAUAAUGCAGCGGGGCCGCAUGGUCACAGUUGUUAAAAGCUUCGGCUGGAUUCAGAUGGGUCUGCGUGCUAUUAGUUAGUUGGUAAGGUAACGGCUUACCAAGGCGAUGAUAGCUAGGGGGUCUGAGAGGAUGAUCCCCCACACUGGGACUGAGACACGGCCCAGACUCCUACGGGAGGCAGCAGUGAGGAAUCUUGCGCAAUGGGGGAAACCCUGACGCAGCCACGCCGCGUGCCGGAAGACGGCCCUAUGGGUUGUAAACGGCUUUUAUUUGGGAAGAAUCUGGGGGUUUCGAUCCCCACUGACGGUACCAAUUGAACAAGCACCGGCUAACUCCGUGCCAGCAGCCGCGGUAAUACGGAGGGUGCAAGCGUUGUCCGGAAUCAUUGGGUGUAAAGGGUGCGCAGGCUGGCGCCUAAGUCGGAGGUGAAAUCUUGCCGCUUAACGGUAAAAUGGCCUCCGAUACUGGGUGUCUUGAGUCUGACAGAGGUCGGUGGAAUUCGUGGUGUAGCGGUGAAAUGCAUAGAUAUCACGAAGAACACCAGUGGCGAAGGCGGCCGGCUGGGUCAGUAUUGACGCUGAGGCGCGAGAGCGUGGGGAGCGAACAGGAUUAGAUACCCUGGUAGUCCACGCUGUAAACGAUGUAUGCUAGUUGUUGGGCUUUCGG
rnacentral:rRNA from 1 species